rnacentral:lncRNA from 1 species
AUAUUUGGUAACCCAAACAAUGCGUUGAUUGUUGUCGGAGUCAGGGAUGGUUUGCUUUUGUCGUACUCGAAUGAUUUUUUCGUCGAUUGAGUGAGGGUUGCAUAAAACUCAUGAACAAUGUGUUCAUUAGGAGGCGUUCUGACAUCACAAAAUUAUUUUCGAUUAAGCCCGUCGAUCGAUUUUCGUAUAAAUGACGGCAUGGUGAGACUGUCAUUACAUGUCAGCAUGGAACCUUUGUUUGGGAGCAUCGGUUGACUCUGAAAGAUGGUUUGGAAUCACUGCCUCGCCUUGACACAAUGGAACACCUUAAAGCCUUCAACAUAAGGAGUCGACCAUUUUCUGUUAUGAGACAUGAUUGUGAAGUCAGUUAAUUUGCCUGAAAAUAGAGCUAGUCACAAUGUCGAAGAGUGAAACUAAAAAGAACAACAUUGACUCAAGGGCUGCUGAGAGGCCGGACGGACAAGAAUAAACAUCGACAAUGGAAUAAACACUGGUGUGGAUAGGUGGUUUGCUGUGAUUGUCCGAAGAAUGCUGGUGGAACAUGGUCGAGCGCUGGGGCAGUGGCAUAUUGCUAUUUGAGGGACGCCUAGACAAAAGAUUACACGAGAGUGGCUGCUGGAGGUGCGCCGCAAUGUUGAAAGCUGCUUGGUUCAGUGAAGGAUGAUCAUCGACGAUGAACAGGGGAAUGAUGAUUGUUAAUUACGAGAGGUGGUUCUUUAAGUAUCAAAAGUGUGGCUACAGUUGAAUGAAGAUAAAAAGGGGGGGGGGUUGUUGAAUAAAGACAAAAUAAUGAACAAACAUGAAAAAGAAUAAUAAAACCUCAUUUCUUUUUUUCUAGGUCAAAUCGUCCACACCUUAUGUUGUUUAGGUUACUAUUUUAAUUAGGACUCCUCAUCCUAUAUAUAUA